AUAGCUGAACGGCCAGGUCCCCCCGGUGGCGGUGAGCGGGCCGUCGCCCAGGUGGUCACCGCCGGCCAGUGCGGUGACGGUGGUCUCCUCGUCGUACCUGCCGGCGCCGAUACGGUCCACCCGGCCGUGCACGAUCAGCACCAGCCGGUCGUCCGGCGUACCGGCCUCGGCGAUCAGCUCGCCGGGCGCGUACUCGUGCUGGGUGAACCGCCGGCCGAGUGCCGCGAGCACCUCGGUGUCGGUGAAGUCCCGCAGGGCGCGCAGUUCCCGUAGCUCGUCCGGGAUGACCGAGGCGUCGGUGCCGUUGAUAUCGAAGUCGAUACGCCCGUCACCCACGGUGUAGGCCAGCCGGCGGUUCACCCGGUACGUGCCACCGGACACCUGUACCCAGGGCAGCAGCCGCAGCAGCCAGCGGGACGUGAUGCCCUGCAUCUGCGGCGGGGUCUUGGUGGUGGUCGCCAAAUUCCGUGCGGCGGUGGUGCUCAGACUGGAAUUCUGGAAUUCUUCCG
rnacentral:antisense_RNA from 1 species